CAACGAGUUACGUUAAGUAGCAAAGUUAAGAAUGUAAGGGGGGGAGACGUAGAGAAUGAGAGUUAGAACUGAGCGUUCAGUUCUUUGACGGAGACCCGAAACCUGGCGAUCUCCCCAAGAGCAGGAUAAAGUGAAAGUAAAAGUGCGUGGGGGUUCUAACCCACGAGAGUUGAAAAGCUCGAGGAUGAGUUGGGGGUAGCGGUGAACUUCCAAUCGAGCCCGGAGAUAGCUGGUUCUCUCCGAACUAGCUUUAGGGCUAGCCUCAAGGUGAGAGAUACGGAGGUAGAGCACUGAAUGUCCUAGGGGGUAUUGCACCUACCGAAGACUAUCAAACUCCGAAU
rnacentral:rRNA from 1 species